UUUUCUUGCCUAACUGAAGAAGAUCGACUAUCUGUCAGGUUUUCAUAAUGAAUUCAUCACCGAUUACAGUUUACACGGCCCGAGUUUAAUUAUCAAAGAACUGCUAGAUUCACGUGUGUUUCAAUCAUUAUGCAGUACAUUCUGAAGUGAGGGAAAGCUUAAAGAUAUUGCAUUGUGGUCCGAAUUGAGAGCAAUGAUUCGUAUAAUGCAAAAAAGGAAUGAAGAGAAUCAGACAUUUUAUUUUUCCAAUUCACACUUACUUGGAUUUGACCAGUUUAAGCAAGCAACAUUAUGCAUAUA